rnacentral:rRNA from 1 species
UACCAGCACCCCGAGUGGUCGGGACGAUUAUUGGGCCUAAAGCAUCCGUAGCCGGUUUUACAAGUCCUCCGUUAAAUCCAGCUGCUUAACAGAUGGGCUGCGGAGGAUACUAUAAGACUAGGAGGCAGGGGAGGCAAGCGGUACUCAGUGGGUAGGGGUAAAAUCCGUUGAUCCAUUGAAGACCACCAGUGGCGAAGGCGGCUUGCCAGAAUGCGCUCGACGGUGAGGGAUGAAAGCUGGGGGAGCAAACCGG